AGCAGGUAUUUGACAAUUAUAACAUGGCUUCAACAGCACACCCUACACACUGUGUUUAGCACUGACAGAGGGAACGCAUACUUUUGUUUGGUUUGUAUUUGACAGAUUGCGUGUUGGUCAUGUUUCAGGUUGUGCAACAGGGAAUCUGGUCUGUAUCUCUAUAGAUCUUUGUCCUUUCACUGCCCGCAGCCUGAUCAUGUCCUGCUUCAUCAUGCUCUCUAAUCUGAAGAACAACGGCUGCUCAUCAUUCUGCUUUUGCUUCAGACUGACAGUGAUCCUGAUGACCCUGAAAUUCUGAGUAGUCCAGCACCUUCAUUGUGCAAUUUGUGAAGGUUGUCAGUGCUGUUGUUCUGUCCUGAUGACCAUUUGUGGGAUUGGACAGAGGCAGCCGUGCCUGACUCGGGGGCUGAUGGUCCACUGAUUGCACAGAUGUCCCUAAGAAGGCGAGAUGCCGUGGAAAUGAUGGAUGACGUGAGUCCUGCCCCUCUGCCCUCGGCUAUCAAGCGCUGUCUGGAAAACAACAGAAAACCUCUCAAUCAACGGAGACUGUCCGGAAGUUCAAAAUGAAACUAGUUUGAGAUGUAAAAGAUGUGCUGGUGUGUUACCUGUUGGAGAGCUUGAACUCCUGCAAGUUUUACAGUAUGUAUACCUAAGAUAGAGACUGCUGGGUGAUAUGGCCAAAAAAUAUGGCAUAAUAUCGAUAUUUAGCAUGAUAUUCAUUUACCAUUAAAUAGAGAAGAAAAUGCUUUUCACAUGUAUGAAUAAAAAAAUGACCAGUCUGUUCACAAUUUAACUUUGAAGAGUAGCUUCCUUUUAAUUUAGCACUCUGUGAAAUCCAUUUUUUCCCUAAGAUUUUUUUAAAUUCUGUAUUUUAUUAUUUAAUACAAGUUUAUCAUCACAACUUGUCUAAGUAAACAUUAACAACUUAAUUAUCUUUUAAAAUGUAAUCACAAUAUGAUAUUUAUAACAAAA